AUAGCAUCCUGUCCAACAACAGCAGCUAGAGGAAAAUACUGUCUACCAAAAGAAUUAUUCUGGGGUUUCUUUUCCGGUUCUUCUGCUUCAGCAACAACAGCUCCAUUAGGUGAAUCAAUAGUAGCAGUAGCAUUUAUACUAAACCGAAAUUUCAACCGUUUUCGAUUCGGAAAACAAGUUGAAGAUAGAAUUGGGCAUGGUUUCAAAUAUGUGAAUAAUGUUGAUGAUUGAGAACUUGAUAGUGAUGUAUAUGUUACAGUUGAAGUACA
rnacentral:misc_RNA from 1 species